GACGAACGCUGGCGGCGUGCCUAAUACAUGCAAGUAGAACGCUGAAGGAGGAGCUUGCUUCUCCGGAUGAGUUGCGAACGGGUGAGUAACGCGUAGGUAACCUGCCUGGUAGCGGGGGAUAACUAUUGGAAACGAUAGCUAAUACCGCAUAAGAGUGGAUGUUGCAUGACAUUUGCUUAAAAGGUGCACUUGCAUCACUACCAGAUGGACCUGCGUUGUAUUAGCUAGUUGGUGGGGUAAGGGCUCACCAAGGCGACGAUACAUAGCCGACCUGAGAGGGUGAUCGGCCACACUGGGACUGAGACACGGCCCAGACUCCUACGGGAGGCAGCAGUAGGGAAUCUUCGGCAAUGGACGGAAGUCUGACCGAGCAACGCCGCGUGAGUGAAGAAGGUUUUCGGAUCGCAAAGCUCUGUUGUAAGAGAAGAACGAGUGUGAGAGUGGAAAGUUCACACUGUGACGGUAUCUUACCAGAAAGGGACGGCUAACUACGUGCCAGCAGCCGCGGUAAUACGUAGGUCCCGAGCGUUGUCCGGAUUUAUUGGGCGUAAAGCGAGCGCAGGCGGUUAGAUAAGUCUGAAGUUAAAGGCUGUGGCUUAACCAUAGUACGCUUUGGAAACUGUUUAACUUGAGUGCAAGAGGGGAGAGUGGAAUUCCAUGUGUAGCGGUGAAAUGCGUAGAUAUAUGGAGGAACACCGGUGGCGAAAGCGGCUCUCUGGCUUGUAACUGACGCUGAGGCUCGAAAGCGUGGGGAGCAAACAGG
rnacentral:rRNA from 1 species